UCGACCGCAACUUGGAUAUUCAAAACUAUUUGAACGACAAGUGCGAUUAGUAGGACGCCUACACGAGCUGUCCAAAUUUUUAAACCCAUCGUUUCUGGCAAAUGGAAACGGUAGGUGAUCUGAGUGAAACCCAAUAAAAAUGCGAAGAGCCAAACUGCUAUGCCAACCAAUACGAUCUUCAGAGUGGUGAACCAAUAGCGACCUUUGAGCGGAAAUUUUGUGAUUACGAAAAUUUGUACAGAGAGAAUGUCAACCAUAGGAAGCGGAAGUACCAAAACCCCAGCAAAAGAUCGUGAUGGGAUAGACAUAGUAUAACUCGCUCAUGUUUUGGAUGAAAAACGGCUGACCCAAUAAAAAGAAACAUGACAUGCAUGAAAUUAAGUCGGCAAUUGCCAGGUUGAGAAUAGUUACCCAUGGGCCUUUGCGAAGUAUUUUCAAAGGAUCGAUAGCCAUGGCAAUGAUUACAACAAAGUUGAGCAGUGUACC